UCCUCAGUAGCUCAGUGGUAGAGCAAUCGGCUGUUAACCGAUUGGCCGUAGGUUCAAAUCCUACCUGGGGAG
rnacentral:tRNA from 13 species